UGGGGAAUAUUGCACAAUGGAGGGAACUCUGAUGCAGCAACGCCGCGUGCGGGAUGACGGCCUUCGGGUUGUAAACCGCUUUCAGCCAUGACGAAGCUUUUGUGACGGUAGUGGUAGAAGAAGCACCGGCUAACUACGUGCCAGCAGCCGCGGUGAUACGUAGGGUGCGAGCGUUGUCCGGAAUUAUUGUGCGUAAAGAGCUUGUAGGCGGUUUGUCGCGUCGAUAGUGUAAACACGCAGCUUAACUGUGUGCCUGCUGUCGAUACGGGCUGACUAGAGGAGGGUAGGGGAGAAUGGAAUUCCCGGUGGAGCGGUGGAAUGCGCAGAUAUCGGGAGGAACACCAGUGGCGAAGGCGGUUCUCUGGACCUUUCCUGACGCUGAGAAGCGAAAGCGUGGGUAGCAAACAGG
rnacentral:rRNA from 1 species